GGCACAGAAGCUGCAGAGCAACACAAAGGAUCCUGCGGGCUUGAACAAGGGGCUCGAACAAAAAGCAGUUACUCCACAGAAGACCAGAGGGGUCCUCCCAGCAUUGUGGCUCUGUGAGGAAACUGAGACCCAGAGAUGGAACUGGGAUUCAAAACAAUGUCUAGUGUGACUCCAGAGCCUUUCCUAACUCCUACUUAAAGCCUCUGAGGAAUGCUGAAAAGAGCACAGGACAUAGAAUCCAGGUUAAAAUGAUGAAAGUCAUCAACCUUAAAAGAAGCAAAAAAGAAGAGAAUUAGCUCCUCUGUGUAAUUUUUUUAAAUAUAGCAUCAAACCAUCUUCCCGUCAGCAACAGGCACUGCAGUAUUGAAGAUCAUCACAUGAGGGCAGAGGGCGUAAAAAAGGAUGGUGUGGUGAGACCAGAAGCAGCAGCAGUCCUCGACAUCAACUACAACUUUCCUUCGCACAGUGCAUACCCUCUGAUAUACUGAACCCAACGCCUAUCCUCCAGCCCCCUAAGAACUAGAGAGGGAGCCUCACAACAUUCCAAUUUAAUCCUUCAGAAAAUUCAUUACUCUUCAAAGUUGUCUGUGGUUUUGUGACAACGAUAUGACUAGGUGCAAAAUGGCUUGCAACUAAUUAACAAACAUAGAAGCAUCCAACAAACAUAUACGUGCACAAUCUGAGGAUUUAGGGAUGAAAUCAGUUAUCCAGGUUAGAUAUCAACAAAAGAGCAGUAAUUAUAAAGUUUCAUGAAGAAAGUGGCUGUUGAGGUGUGGAUUAUGUAAGUAAGACUGACAACAAGAAAUGAUUUUGUUAUAAUCCAGAAGUAAAACUAAAUAAAUGUUCUUUAAAUUGAUGGAUAAAUAAGAAAGAAUUUAUUUACAACAGUAAAUAAAUCCAAUACUUGUUAUAAAUAAGAUAAAGCUGGCUAUAAAUUCACAUUUUCAUGUGAGCGUUUUGAAGUAUGUGGACAUAAAAAACACACACCUCAAGCAUACUUCUCAAUGAUUUCUGAUAAAGAACACACCUUUGUAACCAGCACAUGGUGUAAAACCAGAAACAGAACAUUACCAGAUUCCUAAACAAGCCUUCUUUGUGCCCCUUUUUAGUCACUACCCUCCCCCAUUCAAGGUAACUUCUAUCUUGACUUCUAACACCACACUUUUAGUUUUGCCUAUUGUUAACUUGAUAUAAAUAGAAUGAUACUGUAUAUUUUGUGUGUGUUUGGCUUCUUCUGCUCCAACUUUUGUUGGUAAGGUUUAUACAGAUUAUUAAAUAUAGCUAUAGUUCAUUUAUUUCUAUUACUAUGCAGUAUACUUGGAUUCAGGAAUACACCAUAACUUAAUCAUCCAUUCUAUUGUUGACUGGUUUGGCAAUUUUCUAAACAUACGCAAAUUCUAUGAACCAGCAAUUCUAUCCCGUGUAUGUGUAUAUAUACACACAUGUUAAAUAUAUACACAGAAACAUGCUGUGAAAGUGCUUUGCAAAUGGCAAAAUGUAAAAUGUAAGGAAUGUUACCAAAGAGCUGAAACGCACUGUGUCUUUCUUGCAACACAGAUUCUUGGACAUAUCAGAUAAUAAAUGUAU
rnacentral:lncRNA from 1 species